UACGUAGGGUGCAAGCGUUAAUCGGAAUUACUGGGCGUAAAGCGUGCGCAGGCGGUUCGCUAAGACCGAUGUGAAAUCCCCGGGCUUAACCUGGGAACUGCAUUGGUGACUGGCGGGCUAGAGUAUGGCAGAGGGGGGUAGAAUUCCACGUGUAGCAGUGAAAUGCGUAGAGAUGUGGAGGAAUACCGAUGGCGAAGGCAGCCCCCUGGGCUAACACUGACGCUCAGGCACGAAAGCGUGGGGAGCAAACAGGG
rnacentral:rRNA from 1 species